UCUCAUGGGUAAGCAAAGAAAGUGGUUUCUUGAUAGGGAAUCUUCUCCUGGUGAAGAUGCUAUGAA
rnacentral:pre_miRNA from 1 species